AUUGAACGCUGGCGGCAGGCUUAACACAUGCAAGUCGAGCGGAGAUGAGGUGCUUGCACCUUAUCUUAGCGGCGGACGGGUGAGUAAUGCUUAGGAAUCUGCCUAUUAGUGGGGGACAACAUUCCGAAAGGAAUGCUAAUACCGCAUACGUCCUACGGGAGAAAGCAGGGGAUCUUCGGACCUUGCGCUAGUAGAUGAGCCUAAGUCGGAUUAGCUAGUUGGUGGGGUAAAGGCCUACCAAGGCGACGAUCUGUAGCGGGUCUGAGAGGAUGAUCCGCCACACUGAGACUGAGACACGGCCCAGACUCCUACGGGAGGCAGCAGUGGGGAAUAUUGGACAAUGGGGGGAACCCUGAUCCAGCCAUGCCGCGUGUGUGAAGAAGGCCUUAUGGUUGUAAAGCACUUUAAGCGAGGAGGAGGCUACUGAGACUAAUACUCUUGGAUAGUGGACGUUACUCGCAGAAUAAGCACCGGCUAACUCUGUGCCAGCCGCCGCGGUAA
rnacentral:rRNA from 1 species